rnacentral:rRNA from 1 species
CCAUUAGAUGUUCUGGGCGGCCCGCGCACUACAAUGGCGCUUUCAGCGAGUUCCUAUGUUGAAUUUUCCUGGGUAUUCUUGGAAGCGGCGUCUUGACUUGGGAUAGAUCCUUGUAAUUGUUGGUUUUGAACGAGGAAUUCCUUGUAAUCGCGGUUGAUCAGCUCGCGUUGAAUACGUCCCUGCCCUUUGUACACACCGCCCGUCGCUCCUACCGAUGAAUCGUCCGGUGAAGUUCACAGAGUGGCGGUUCGUGGAGUUGCUCGCGAAGUGAAAUGGACCUCACGAUUUAGAGGAAGGAGAAGUCGUAACA